GACGAACGCUGGCGGCGUGCUUAACACAUGCAAGUCGAACGGAAAGGCCCUGCUUUUGUGGGGUGCUCGAGUGGCGAACGGGUGAGUAACACGUGAGUAACCUGCCCUUGACUUUGGGAUAACUUCAGGAAACUGGGGCUAAUACCGGAUAGGAGCUCCUGCUGCAUGGUGGGGGUUGGAAAGUUUCGGCGGUUGGGGAUGGACUCGCGGCUUAUCAGCUUGUUGGUGGGGUAGUGGCUUACCAAGGCUUUGACGGGUAGCCGGCCUGAGAGGGUUACCGGCCACAUUGGGACUGAGAUACGGCCCAGACUCCUACGGGAGGCAGCAGUGGGGAAUAUUGCACAAUGGGCGGAAGCCUGAUGCAGCAACGCCGCGUGCGGGAUGACGGCCUUCGGUUUGUAAACCGCUUUCGCCUGUGACGAAGCGUGAGUGACGGUAAUGGGUAAAGAAGCACCGGCUAACUACGUG
rnacentral:rRNA from 1 species